ensembl:lncRNA
AAGUGCAGAUGAAGCGAAGGUGUGUCAUUGAGUUCAUCCAUGCAGAAGAAAUGUCACUUAUUGAUGCUUGGUGAAUAUUUCUGAGACCAAACAGUGGAUGUGAGCACAGUGAGGGGUGAGUGGUGCUCUUCAGCAGUGGCAGCAGUAGAUCUGAUCUGCUGGUGCAGGUUCUGAUGAGCAUGGCACGUACGUCUUGUUCUGCUGGCAAAAAUGCAGAGUUCAUGGCAGUGACUAUGUUGAAAAAUAGUGUUUUGUAGCUGAGAAUUUACUCCAUCAGAUACUGUUAUUGUGUUCUGCGUGCUCUUGUAGCUUCCAUGGAAAUAAAUAGGAGGUACAACUUUUGGAGCAACCUGCGUUCAUGCAGCCCACGAUGAUUCCUCUUCACUCAGUGUGCCAUGGGUUGGACACACAUGUUGUACAGCACAGAGACAAGUGCAGAAGAGAAAAUGAUGCUACAGCAGGUGAUAAUUCAGCUCUGCUGAAUGCACCAAACCUCACACAAGUGUUUGAUGUGGGGACCCCUGCCCACACGGGGACGGUGCUCUGCAAAUCCAGGCAGCAGGCAUCAGCCUUGGAGAAGCGCUGUGCUGCAAACAACAGCCAGAGAAUGACUUUAUUAUUUUAUUUUUGUUAUCUUCUUAAUGAAAGAUGAGGUUCUGGAGAAGGAUGGAGAGGCCUUUGCAUGACCCCACCAAAAUCUCUCAUUAUCCUUCAGGGGUGGGCAAGCACCUAUACCGAUAAACAUUUGACUAAUGGACAAGCCUCAACAUCAUAAACAUUGCCUCCCCGUUUUCGCUAAUUGUCCUCCUUGUCACUGCUGUUUGCAGAGUGACAAAUGAUUUGGUUUUAAUGGAGAUCAAAUUCCCCUGUCGCUCUUAAGUAAUCCCUUUAAGCCAAGGAUGAGUCAUGGGGACAGGACGGAGCGUGUAGGGAGAGGAUUUCAAAGGAGUUGUUCCCUCCAUACCUGAAUCAUCUGUAACAGCAGUCCCAGACCAAUUUUCCCUGCAGGCAUGUUUUCUCAGCCAAAGCCUCUUUGUUUCCUGUAGCAUGAGCAAUAUUUAUCCUUCCCCAUGCUGCAAGACCAAGCGAACACCUGAUGGAAUUAAUAAACAACCCAUUUAAAACUGGUGUGCGAGCAUGCUUGGGCAACACCAAGACAACUCAGGAUUAGAGGGUCAUUUUCCAGUGAAAACUUGGUAAGGAUUGAAAGUAAUAGAAUGGAUGUCCAGUUUGUUGUGUGCGAGGUUCAAUGGACCAAUGGUUGGCCAGCAGUGUUGGCCAUUGCUCUAGACGUGGAAGCAAACGUGGACAUUCCCAAAACCUGAGGACUCAUUUGUGUGAUAGUUUUCUCCAAAUGAAACGAUAGCUUUCAAAAUUGGAUUUGAAAGGAAAAAAAAAAUAUCAAAUCCCCAAGUCCUUAGCCUAAGUUACUAAACGUGCUGCAUGUGAGGGGAAGACUGCUGCUUGUCCAUUUAGGAAGCAGUGUACUGUUGAGAGAAAGGCCUCCAUUAUCUCAGGCAUUCCUGCAGCAGUUCAGAAGAGUUUAUAGAAAACCUUCAUUUACCAGGGGCUGCUAAGCAUCUCCUGGUGCCUUUUACAAACUGCAGAUCUAUAGAAAGAGGGAAACAUAGCAGAUGUGUGACACUGAGAGUGGAAGAAUGGGAAGCGCUGACCUCAGGCCCUUGUGAUGGCAAGGAAUUUCUUUGGAUAAAAAGAAAAAAAGAAAGACUAUGCGAUUACUGUUAAUGUGAUCUGGAAGAAAAACUCCUCCUCAACUGCAAAUAUGUCAAUUUGGGUAUAAGCUAUGGAGCAAGAGAUAGCAGGUGGGCAGCUUGAGGCCAUGCAAAGCUGUUCCAGAAUUGUGGAACCUCAGUGCUGUGGUUUGCUGUGACCCAGCUCCAGCUCUUCAAGGACAGCAAUUAAAAAUCCAUCCAGGCACUGCCAAGCAGGGAACCUUUCUGCUGCUCAUCUGCAGAGACCAGCAGAGGAGCCACCAUAUUCGGUGUUAAUGCAAUAUUAACGUGGUAAAAGCGUGUUAGCCUGAGAUUUUGUCCAACAGGAAAUGAUUGUCACAUCAGAGACUUCAUUCUCGCUUGAAAAACAAAAAAAGCACUGUGAAGUGCAGAGAUUUACCUGGAAGAUUUGUCAGGAAGAGAAUCAAACAAGACACAAACAACUCCCUUUCAAAAAUUAUCUUGAUGAUGUAACAAGCCUUCAAGAUCCAGCUGGGUGAAAAAAAAGUCUUCCAGCUGAGAUUUGAUAGCAGCCUCCUAUUGCUAGGAAGUUAUUAAAAAUCCUGCCCCAGGGGAGGGCCCACUGUGCAACCACUGCCCCCCGGUAGCCCAGAUUCUGUGAUUUUUUUUGGAGGUGUUUGGAUUUCAGGAAAGAAAUUAAAA